rnacentral:other from 1 species
CUUCGCCUGAGGUGUGCGUUGUUCGUUACGUCCCUGAGCCGAUAUUUAAACUCCUUAAGUUGGACUUUCAAACUGUUGGUGAGCAGGCUCGCUUGCGAGAAGCCUAAAAAUGGUUAUGUUCGACUGCCUUGAACCUUUUGGUUCAAGGACCAUUACGGAUAACGGCACUUCGGGUACUCU